GUUCAGCAGCAAAGGCUUGCAGGAUGUGCAGAAAUAGCAGUGGCAUCAGGAACAGUUUUCAGAGUGAAAACUAGGUACUGGCAUUAUGGUCUUCCAAAAGAGUGUGUUGGCAGUGGCCAGUGGUUGUGGAGGUUGUUGAGAGGAGACCUGCUGUGACAUCAUGAGACCCUUGGCUUCAGAAGACACUGAAGGGGACAGGGAAGUAAGCAGGUCUAAGAAACUGUUUUCUGCCGGGAAAGAGAGUUCCAUUCUUGAAGCAGAAUCAUGGAGUGGAGUAGGUACUGCUGAAAGCAGUAUCCAUUCUUGGGGUUGCUGCCUGCCUCAGAAAAGACAGCAGAUUGUUGAACGGAAGAAACAUGGUUGUCUCAGGCUCAGGCUGUCACUUCCAGUUCAGAAUCUCAGGCUAAGUGCCAAACUCCAGCACAGAAACAACGCCUCACCUCUGACUGUCACUGAGCCCCUUGGCUUGUGUACCUUACCUUAGCAAGGCAUCAACAACUUACUGCUCAGAAUUUCUUUUUGAUGCCUGUGGAAUGCACCAGUUUCUCUCCUUCCAAGAAUGGUACCUGCCCUUCAGUGGGACACACUAAUAAUGGAGUGGAGCUCAACAGCAGAACUUCUGCUAAACUAUCAAGGACUAAACUGUGCUCAAGGGGCACAGUGCAAACAGCACUAACUCCUAUAGCUGCGCAGAGUGUCUCAGAAUUGGUCUCCUUAUCCUCGCUGUCUGGAACCCACAGAUUUGCUGUCCCUGGAUUUACAUGUCCUCCAGAACCCCUCUAGUCAGGGCACUGAAGCCCUAACUGGAUCUCUUGCAGAGCAGAUGCACUGAGCUCCUGGCAAAGCCCAGAAGGCAGAGCCUGGCUGGGGGAUGCAGCAGGGGAGCACACAGCCAAGAAGUGGGAGACCAGAGUUCUGGCUACUUGUCGCCGUGCAUGGUGAAGAGGCGGAAGAAUUGGGAUGCAGGGUCUCUGCUGGCUGUGGUGAGGAUGGGACCUGGACUCAGAGCCAUCUCCUAGCAACCAGACUCCGAGCAAAACUGUGGUGGGAGUGGUGGGAGUCAUCGCUGAAGCUGUGCCACUGCACAGGAAGGAAUGCACAAUUCACAGGGCUGCAGAGAUUGCACACGAAAAGGGAGCAUGACUCAGGUCCCUCUCAGAAACACUGCCCUUCCAGCUACUCCCUAACACAAAAUCCACAGGCGGCUUUGAGGUCAGAAAUCCAAGGUUGGAACUGUGCUACUGAAGGGGGAUCUUUGUACAGAACUAAUCUCAGCCCUACUUGGCACUGUGACGUGCCAAGGGAUGGGGCUUGAGGUGGAGUCUGGGCACUCCAGUGGGGAAGGAAUUCUCAAGCAGGCUAAAGGAGUUGAGGAUGAUGUUGCAACCAGGACUCCUGGUUCUGAAUAUGAACUCUAAUCUCUUGGCCACUACGCAAAAAGAGCUUCCUCUAAAUAUAAUAAACAUAUCUCUUUAAAGAGCACACUGAUCACCUGUCCCUAAAGGAUGAAUAAGUUGCUAUACAUUUCAGACAUUAAAUCUGUUCCUCAAUUAAGUGUUUACCUCAGUCUUCAUGACUACAUGCAAAAAAAGGGCAGGAUUUUUGUCAAGUUUUUUCUUAGCAGACUCAGGCAUCAGCCCUACUGGCAGGAUUAUGAACCAUGAGCCUGGUUCCAGGGGGUUAGGUGCUGCCUCUCAUACAUUCCCCAGGGAUUUAAGCACUUUUUUGGAAAUGUUUUGUAGUUCAAAGGGCAAAGUUGUGCCAUUUUUCCUUCCAGCCAUACCAAGGAUAAAGAACAGUCUCUCUUUUUCUUAGGGAUGGAGAAUAUGAAUAUCAUAUUUAUUUUGUAUACCUGAGAUUCAUUCUUAAUAGAUUCAUUCUCUUCAUUCUUUUCCCCUGAAAUGCCUUUGAUUUUAAGGUAAUGUAGAAAUUAAAUAUAUUGUUGUUCCACUGAAAACAGAUCUUUGAAAUAUUCUGCAGUUAGCUAUUCAGCACCUCUUGUUUCUCGCUAUAUAAUGUUUACACUGAAAAGACUUAUUUAUUUAAAAUUUUAUUUUAAAAAUACUUUGAUUUCAAGACAAUCAUUAGCAAUUAACUAACCAUUUAGAGACAUGUGUGACCUAAUUACCUGAAACAUAUACUGUUGCCAUCAUAACAAUAUACUAAAUUUUUUAAGUAUUAAUUAACCAUUUUUAAACUAUUUAUAAUUUACCUUUAAUUAGAAGUAUGGCCAAGGUGCGGAUAAAACAUCUGUUCAUCUAGAAUUUGACUCACACUAUCUUAAUUUAGUAUAUGCAAAGGAAAUAAAUCAUCCCUCUACAAUAUUUCUCUUCUGAAUUUAUUUUGGAGGAGAUGCCAUUUAAGUCUUGAGCACAUUACCUGCAAAGUGACUGAAAUCAGAAUAUGGAAAAAUACUUCAUCGGUACAAAAGCAUGCUGAAAUAAAAACUUAUCUGUUGGCUUGAAAAGAGGAAGUAUGAGGUCCUUACUGUGAUCCUCAACUUGAUAUAUACCAGAGAUAUUUAUACCUCAGUUUUAUGUCAAGGUCUGUACUGGGAGAACACUUUUUUUCCCCACAAAAGAGGAGAUAGAAAAAACAUAUCUGAUUUUAUUUUUAAUCAGGGAAGCAAUUUAGUAACCCUCUAAGGACAGGACAUCCUAACAAAAUUUUCCAUGAGAUGUUACAUAACCUGCAUAUUGAAGAAACCCUUCUUUGCUCUGACUGAUGCUCUGAGCAGCAAAUGAAUAGUUUACAAAAGAAUCACUAUCCACAGCAACAUGAUGUUGGUGCAGAUUGUCAGGACUGUGGUACAAAGAGCAAGGCUCACUGGCACUUCCCAGCCUCUUGUUCCCCUGCCAGCAGAGGCACAGCACACACAACUCUUUUAAAACAGUCUUCGUAGAAGCAUCUUUAGCAGUGUCACUGAACCCUUCUGUUCCCCAUCUCCUUUAUCACCUCCAAAAUAACAAAAAACCCCCCAAUAGUUUGUGAAAAUAGAGAGCCCUGGCAAAUCUGUGCUCUACUGAGUUUUGAUCCCUUAUAUACACAAGUGUCAGAAAUUCAGUGUACUCCAAUUAAGAGAGAGCAGUACUAUUGCUUUGGCUUCCCUGCUAGCAACAGGCAUUGCUAACAUGUAAAUGUAAAUCCUGACAGGGAAUGUGUGUGCAGAUCAACUCACAUGGCCAGUGCCAGCUCACCACAGAGCUAACAAAACUUCUGCAAAAAGAGUAUAAAUAAUAAUGUUCCAAAAAUGCAAAGCUGGUGGCACGCAUAGAGCUAUUGCUUUCAAUAAUGCAGUACUUCCCAGGCUGACAAACAACGGCUCUGAGAAUAACAGCUUUUAACUGCCCCUAUGUCAGUGUGAUUUUUUUCCCAUGAAUUAGAAAAGAUACAGAAAGGCAAACACAUUUUCACUUCAUAUUUCUGGAUACUGUCUUUUUUAAUAAGUUAAACUGAAAAAUGUGAAUUGCUUGUUGUUCUUGUCAAUAAACACUUCUUUUAGAAUACCACUUUGAGGUUAAGAAAACUCAAAUGCAGAUAAGUCUUCAAACAAAUAGGGAAGCCUAUUUGCAUAUGGUCUUCCACUUUUUCACCAUAGUAAAAAAAAAAGAAAAAAUCAUUCACUUGUAAAAACAAAGCAGGCUUUAAAUUUUAUUUUUUUUUAGGUCCCAGUAGCUUGUAAUAUGGCUUUAAAAGAAAGUAGAUAAUGUUUCAUAUAUUUCUCUCAUUUGAAUCCCACUAAUUUAAUUCUACAAUCAAGACUAAAAUAAAUAGAAACAUAUGAUAAAACCACACAACACUUUUCAAAGCAUACCAAAUUAAUCCUCACAAUACUCUUGAUAGAUAGGACUUUUAUCAGUGCUUUUCAGAUGGUGAGAUUUUGCAACAAAGUUCUUGAGUUCUGCAACCGUAACAACAUAAUGAGCUUCUCUUUGUGUAAAUUAAUUUUUAAAAACUCUGAAGUUUUUAACUGGGAACAACUCAGAAAUUAUAUCACGAGACACCCUGCUAUAUCCGGAGAGGAUUGUGGGGCUGGGAGCUUUCUGCCCAUCCCAGUUUUUGCACAGAGAAGCAGUUGCCAGGGUAAGCAGCCAUCACCAUCUGCAUGGAGCAAGGUGUUUAAAGGAGGAUAAGCCACAUGAAAGCUGGCUCCCACUGAAAGGCCCAGAAUCUGGCCCCUUCUUACACACCAAUCUGCUGCUGGCAGGACCACAUUGUGUACACCUUGUGCUCUCUCUUUGCAAAAUCCCUGAGACUUCACCCCAUCCUCUUUUCUUCUCCAGUCUUUUCUUCUACUCAUCAUCUCAGUUUCAAUCUUCUUGACUAGCAAAUCCUAAUCUCUCCUUUCCAAACAGGUCUCUUGAUGCCAGAUACCUGAGAAGCUUCAACAACUCAAGGCCUUUUGUUUCCUUGUUUGUAUUUAAUCACUGUUACAGCCACUGAUGGUUCCAUUUGAGAUUUUCCCUCUAUGAUCAGACUCCUAUCAGUAUCCUAAUCCCAAAAAUCUUGUCCCACAGGGAGCAAGGCCAGGUUCCAUAAUUAGCCAGAGCAGCUCCUGGUUUCAACUCACAUUAUUUCUCAUUAAUUGUAUCUGAUCCUCUCUCACCACUAGUUCUUUAAUCCACCUGGCCAGUUUGCAUCACAUUGCCAGCCUCAGCUUGCUCAACUUCUCAUAAUGCCCCUUUCCCUUUGUCCCUUGCUUUCACUGCUCCUGUCAACCCUCACCAGGCUCCAGCCCCAACACUUUUCCCCUCCUUUCUGCACUGAAAUCAGAAUUUAACAAAUAAAACUGAUUGUGUAAACAUGUGUAUCCAGUGUUACAUCCUUGGUAUAAAUGACAUCAUGUUGUCAAGAGCAAGCACAGAGCCUUUUUUUUCUUUUUUUUAAGGAAUGGCAAAUAUACUUAAGGAUCAAACUACCCUUACAGGAUAAAUUUUUUCUCGUUCUUGAAAAUGGUUGUAAUUAUCUCUGAAAGAGUUCAACAGAUGGAAGAUAUAGAGAAGAGUAAAUGUAAUCCCUGUGGGCUGAAGGUCAUGAAGUUAUCAUCAAACUGCACACCUAGUAUUGUAAUGGGAGAUGUCAGGUAAUCUUAAGUGAUGAUUCUACCAACUGCUUGGAUGACACACAUUGUUCUGACAGAAUACUGGAUCUUUUAUUAGCUUUAAUUACGUUAAAGUAACUCUCUAGUGUUUUAACCAGCUUUUAAUUUUAUAGCCAAUAUCCUGGAAGCCUGGACAGCUAAACAUUACUUUGGCAUAUCACAGUAGGCUAAAUUUUCCCUUAAUUCUGCAGUAAGGUUGUUGACUCAGUGUGCUUAGCAGUAGUGGAAAUGGUAUUUCUGCAAAUGAUGGAUGCGAGCUUUCAUUUCAGUUUUGGUUGCCAUUGCACAUUCUUUCUCCCCUCUCCAGUUGCUAAGGUUUGUGUUGGGAUUACUACUAAAUAAACUACACUAAAUAAAGCCUAUUCAAGACUAGUGAGGCUUGAACAAAAAGAAAAUAUACCUACAUAAUUCAUAGUUUCAUAGACCUACAUAAUUAAAGUUUGAGAUCCAAGUGAAGCUACACAAUAGUCCUUUGCAUUGGCUGACCUUCAGAUCUAAAGUACUGAAUAAUUACAGUCCUUUAAAAGGACAUAUUUUAAUAUUGUAAGAUGUGCUCUUACAGCUGUAAGCUCAGCAUGGAGGCAAUGUAAGGCAAGACCAGGAGAACUCCUGUGCCCAAAAGCUUAUCUAACAAAAGAUACUACUUUCCCCAGAAAGCCUUAUUUCUCUUACAGUGGAAUGAACAAAACCCAAGUUUUUAGUUAAGUCAGCAGAGUUUCAGUAUUCACAGUAAGAAAAGCAAAGCACUUGCCACAGCCUCUGGAUUUGCACAUAGAAAUGUUAACUUUUGUGACCUGUUAGCCAUGUGGCAUCAUGUCUUCUUACCUCCGAAGUAUUUUGAAAAAAGUUCUACAAAAUUUCCAGUCCUUAUGUUGAGGGAUUAUUAAUAAAAAAAUUAACAUCUACAUGAAAUUUCAACUUGCUGUACCAGAUCCAUAGCUGAGACCUGAAAAAUGAGUGCUAAAAUCUUAUAUUCUCUUUAGGAAAACACUUAAAAUAUAAAACAGCAAUAUUUUAUUUAAGGGGAAGAGUUCUUCUCUGAUAACCUUUCAAGACUUAUACAUAUAUUUAUAUUUAUAUUUGUCCCAUAAUAUCUCUCCAUGGGUAUUUCUCCACCUCCCAGGGUAUUCACAGCAUUCCUUAAAAUGAUGCAUCUAUUGACAGUCCCAUAACCUGCUGUCCAAAACCAUCAGUACAGAUAGAUAUAACAAAAUAAUUGCAUCUUUAGACAGAUUCCUUCCCCUUUAAGUUUAUUUGUCCUCCAAGACAGCAUUGUAGGAAAAGGCACUAGAUUUAUGGAUGAGGUCUACUUACAGCCAGCAGAAAGACCCCUGAGACUUUAUCCAGAAGUACUCAAUGCAAAUUUGAGCAAGCUGGCUAAAAUAAAACAUGAAGUAAAGUUCAAAUAAUAUCACAGAACUCAUGCUAGAUAUUCCUUUGACUGGCAAGUGUUUUGAUUAUCCAGGAGUGGACUUAGCAGUAAAAUCAAGUGGGACAUAAUUGCUGUUCUUGGGUUUGCACACUAUUUCUCCUCUUGUAAGGAGCAGCUGGGGGAUUUCUAACUUGUUUUCCAUUCUCUGUUAACAGAUCUAGACUAUGUUUUUCUCUGCCACUCUCUCUGCAUUAUUUUCUUCACUUUUACUUACUUAAAUAAAAUAUGCAUAAAAAAUGAGAAAGCCUAUUCUUGUGUGACGUACUACUCAAUUUGUAGCUCAGUUGGAGCUGGGUAUUCCAGCCAAGCUGAACACUCAUUAUUUAGUUGUGAGUCUAUCAUCUCAUUAUAUGGAGAGCACAUCAGUCUCAGAGUAGAAUUUUCUGGCCCGAAAACCUGAGAUUACAUGAAAAACUGCUCCUAGCUUGCAGAGGCAACCGUAAUGAACAUGUCACUGCCAGAAAUCUAGGUACUAAUGAUGAUUUUGCUUUGAAGUCCAAUAUAAUUUUUUUUCAUAGUUCUGAUAAAAAGUAUA